UCCGCCUCAACCAUUACUCCACUAUUUUGGGUUUUUCUAAAUUUCUCACGCUCUUUAGUAUGAAAUUUAAAACCAUUUAUAAUAAACCCAUCAUAUCUGUUGACAAUAUUAUUCGGACCUCGAGCAAUGACUAUUAACUCCUCAGAACAAUUCCUCUCCAUCAUCACCGGUACCUAAAAAAAAUUAUGGAAGUAAUGAUUAAUUUCUCUCUAGAAAAAUUUUUAAAAAAAAUUAAUAUAUUAGACAUCUAACCUGUUUGAAAAGCCAUUCUGAAAAUAACUCAACCAACCAUCGUUGCUCAAUCCUUGGUGUAGAACGAAUGUUAUAGUUGAGACUUCGCUGAGCUAUUAAAAAUUCUCUGCACGAUCAGAAAAUAAUUAAUUAAAAGCCAAUAUUACAUUCU
rnacentral:lncRNA from 1 species